rnacentral:lncRNA from 1 species
CAUGACUUCCCCAUUCCUAUGCCAUUUUGCCGGGGUUUGUACGCAGUUUGAACCACGCUUAUGCUUCGUGUGUGCCUCUCUCCAGCUAUAUUAUCAAUCUUUUGAGGAUAGAAACCAGGACGCAGACUUCUUUGAGUCCCGGCACCAGGGCAAUCAGAGAGAGGAAUUUCAUGACAACAGUCAAAAGGCCAACUUUAGAGAAGCAUGGCCCCAAGCCCUUCUGGAUGGUUCUGAAGCAUACCAAACAUUGGCCAUGGUUUCUUAGAGCACAGACAUUGUCUCUCAAGGCAAAGUGUUCUGGGCCUUUUGAUGGGCAGUGAACUUAUGAAUUAUCCUGGGGCCUUUGUCCUCUUCUGCCAGCAGAAUACAAUGACAAGGCCCUAGAUGAUUUUGGAGUCCUGGGACAGAAGGACAUUUGGUCCCUUCAUCACCAGGUGGAGGAGAGCCACCUACUGACCAGGAGCACCCUAUGGAUGAUUGUAUGAUCAAGGUCUGUUGUAUUUAAUUUAAAGUACAUAUUUGGGUCUAUUUGUUACUGCAGCCUUGCCUAAGCUGAUGAAUACACACAUCAUUUUGUAAACGUGAAUGGUAUCCAAAUGCAUUUGUCUAACAAUGUUUGUUGAGUGUUAUUUUGAUUGGUUCUGGGGACACCUGGGCAUAUAAAGAAACAUUAAUUCAUGC